UUGUGCAAAGGUAGCAUAAUCAUUAGUCUCUUAAUUAGUGACUUGUAUGAAGGAUUUGAUGAAAUAUAAUCUGUCUCAAAAAUAAUUAAUUGAAAUUAAUUUUUUAAUUAAAAAGUUAAAAUAAAUUAAAAAGACGAGAAGACCCUAUAGAGUUUAAUAUUAAGUGUAAAUUUAAGUUAUUUAUAAAAUUUAUUUAUUUAUAAAUUUUGUUUAAUAUUUUGUUGGGGUGAUAAAAAAAUAAAAUGAACUUUUUUUAAUAGUAAACAUAAAUAAGUGAUUUUAUGAUCCAAUUUUAUUGAUUAAAAGAAAAAAUUACCUUAGGGAUAACAGCGUAAUUUUUUCUUUUAGUUCUUAUAAGAGAAAAAGUUUGCGACCUCGAUGUUGGAUCAGGACA
rnacentral:rRNA from 1 species